rnacentral:rRNA from 1 species
GAUGAACGCUGGCGGCGUGCCUAAUACAUGCAAGUCGAGCGAACAGACGAGGAGCUUGCUCCUCUGACGUUAGCGGCGGACGGGUGAGUAACACGUGGAUAACCUACCUAUAAGACUGGGAUAACUUCGGGAAACCGGAGCUAAUACCGGAUAAUAUAUUGAACCGCAUGGUUCAAUAGUGAAAGACGGUUUUGCUGUCACUUAUAGAUGGAUCCGCGCCGCAUUAGCUAGUUGGUAAGGUAACGGCUUACCAAGGCAACGAUGCGUAGCCGACCUGAGGGGGUGAUCGGCCACACUGGAACUGAGACACGGUCCAGACUCCUACGGGAGGCAGCAGUAGGGAAUCUUCCGCAAUGGACGAAAGCCUGACGGAGCAACGCCGCGUGAGUGAUGAAGGUCUUCGGAUCGUAAAACUCUGUUAUUAGGGAAGAACAAAUGUGUAAGUAACUAUGCACGUCUUGACGGUACCUAAUCAGAAAGCCACGGCUAACUACGUG